UUCGGGAGAAGGUACGCUGUUGUUGGUGAUGGAACUCGCUUCCUGAGCUGACGACAGCCGCAGAAACCAGGCCGCUGCAACUGUUUAUUAAAAACAUAGCACUCUGCAAACACGAAAGUGGACGUAUAGGGUGUGAUGCCUGCCCGGUGCUGGAAGGUUAAUUGAUGGGGUUAGCGUAAGCGAAGCUCUUGAUCGAAGCCCCAGUAAACGGCGGCCGUAACUAUAACGGUCCUAAGGUAGCGAAAUUCCUUGUCGGGUAAGUUCCGACCUGCACGAAUGGCAUAAUGAUGGCGGCGCUGUCUCCAGCAGAGGCUCAGUGAAAUCGAAAUCGCUGUGAAGAUGCAGUGUACCCGCGGCUAGACGGAAAGACCCCGUGAACCUUUACUGCAGCUUGACACUGAACUUUGACCUUACUUGUGUAGGAUAGGUGGGAGGCUUUGAAGCUGGAACGCUAGUUCCAGUGGAGCCGUCCUUGAAAUACCACCCUGGUAAUGUUGAGGUUCUAACUCUGUCCCGUGAUCCGGGACGAGGACCGUGUCUGGUGGGUAGUUUGACUGGGGCGGUCUCCUCCUAAAGAGUAACGGAGGAGUACGAAGGUGCGCUCAGCGUGGUCGGAAAUCACGCGUAGAGUAUAAAGGCAAAAGCGCGCUUAACUGCGAGACCCACAAGUCGAGCAGGUACGAAAGUAGGUCUUAGUGAUCCGGUGGUUCUGUAUGGAAGGGCCAUCGCUCAACGGAUAAAAGGUACUCUGGGGAUAACAGGCUGAUACCGCCCAAGAGUUCAUAUCGACGGCGGUGUUUGGCACCUCGAUGUCGGCUCAUCUCAUCCUGGGGCUGAAGCAGGUCCCAAGGGUAUGGCUGUUCGCCAUUUAAAGAGGUACGCGAGCUGGGUUUAGAACGUCGUGAGACAGUUCGGUCCCUAUCUACCGUGGGCGCUGGAAAUUUGAGAGGAUCUGCUCCUAGUACGAGAGGACCAGAGUGGACGAACCUCUGGUGUACCGGUUGUGACGCCAGUCGCAUCGCCGGGUAGCUAUGUUCGGAAGGGAUAACCGCUGAAAGCAUCUAAGCGGGAAGCCUACCUCAAGAUAAGAUUUCCCUAGGACUUUAUGUCCUCUAAAGAGCCGUUCGAGACUAGGACGUUGAUAGGUUGGAUGUGGAAGCAUAGUGAUAUGUGAAGCUGACCAAUACUAAUUGCUCGUGAGGCUUGACUAU
rnacentral:rRNA from 1 species